UGGGGAAUAUUGCACAAUGGGCGCAAGCCUGAUGCAGCCAUGCCGCGUGUGUGAAGAAGGCCUUCGGGUUGUAAAGCACUUUCAGCGAGGAGGAAGGUGGUGAGCUUAAUACGCUCAUCGAUUGACGUUACUCGCAGAAGAAGCACCGGCUAACUCCGUGCCAGCAGCCGCGGUAAUACGGAGGGUGCAAGCGUUAAUCGGAAUUACUGGGCGUAAAGCGCACGCAGGCGGUUUGUUAAGUCAGAUGUGAAAUCCCCGGGCUCAACCUGGGAACUGCAUUUGAAACUGGCAAGCUAGAGUCUCGUAGAGGGGGGUAGAAUUCCAGGUGUAGCGGUGAAAUGCGUAGAGAUCUGGAGGAAUACCGGUGGCGAAGGCGGCCCCCUGGACGAAGACUGACGCUCAGGUGCGAAAGCGUGGGGCAGCAAACAGGAUUAGAUACCCUGGUAGUCCACGCUGUAAAACGAUGUCGAUUUUGGAGGUUGUGCCCUUGAGGCGUGGCUUCCGGAGCUAACGCGUUAAAUCGACCGCCUGGGGAGUACGGCCGCAAGGUUAAAACUCAAAGGAAUUGACGGGGUC
rnacentral:rRNA from 1 species